GCUGGAUGUGAGGAUGGGACCCACUUUGCUCUGUGAGCUGGGCCUAUUCUUGCUCUGUACGCUCCUCUGCACUGGACACGCUCAAGAUGCUGUGUUAACUAUUGAACCCAACUGGUCCAGUUUUUUCAUUGGAGAGUUUGUUACCUUCAUGUGUGACAUGAAUGAA